GGGGAUAUAGCUCAGAGAGCUCCACUCUUGCUAUUGGGGGCGGAUGUCAGCGCGCUUAUCUCCA
rnacentral:tRNA from 1 species